rnacentral:rRNA from 1 species
AACAGAACGUGGGCUGCGGAGGUCAUUA